GGAAGGGCGUCUGUUGAAGUGAUGAGUUGUAGCCUCAUUUAUGAGAGAAAUUCUCUCCUUUCA
rnacentral:tRNA from 1 species